CCGUGGCGGGGUGCUAUACAUGCAAGUCGAGCGAACAGAUAAGGAGCUUGCUCCUUUGACGUUAGCGGCGGACGGGUGAGUAACACGUGGGUAACCUACCUAUAAGACUGGGAUAACUUCGGGAAACCGGAGCUAAUACCGGAUAACAUUUGGAACCGCAUGGUUCUAAAGUGAAAGAUGGUUUUGCUAUCACUUAUAGAUGGACCCGCGCCGUAUUAGCUAGUUGGUAAGGUAACGGCUUACCAAGGCGACGAUACGUAGCCGACCUGAGAGGGUGAUCGGCCACACUGGAACUGAGACACGGUCCAGACUCCUACGGGAGGCAGCAGUAGGGAAUCUUCCGCAAUGGGCGAAAGCCUGACGGAGCAACGCCGCGUGAGUGAUGAAGGGUUUCGGCUCGUAAAACUCUGUUAUUAGGGAAGAACAAAUGUGUAAGUAACUGUGCACGUCUUGACGGUACCUAAUCAGAAAGCCACGGCUAACUACGUGCCAGCAGCCGCGGUAAUACGUAGGUGGCAAGCGUUAUCCGGAAUUAUUGGGCGUAAAGCGCGCGUAGGCGGUUUCUUAAGUCUGAUGUGAAAGCCCACGGCUCAACCGUGGAGGGUCAUUGGAAACUGGGAAACUUGAGUGCAGAAGAGGAAAGUGGAAUUCCAUGUGUAGCGGUGAAAUGCGCAGAGAUAUGGAGGAACACCAGUGGCGAAGCGACUUUCUGGUCUGUAACUGACGCUGAUGUGCGAAAGCGUGGGGAUCAAACAGGAUUAGAUACCCUGGUAGUCCACGCCGUAAACGAUGAGUGCUAG
rnacentral:rRNA from 1 species